rnacentral:rRNA from 1 species
GGGGGGGGAAAAUAUCCGCCCCCCCCAAAAAAAAAAAAAAAAUUUUUUUGGGGGGUUUUUAAAUUUUCCCCCCCCCCCUUUUAUUUUUUUUUUUUUUUUUUUAAAAAAAAAGGGGGGGGGGGGUUUUUUGCGGAGCCCCCUCCCCCCUUUUUUUCAAAAGAGGGCCCCUGGGUUAAAAAUUUUAGGUUUUUUUGGUUGGGGGUAAAAAACCCUUCCCAAGGGCCAAACGUUUUUUUAGUGUGUUUUGAGGGGGGAUGGUUCAACCCCCAUUCGGGAAUUGAGGACCCGGCCCGAAAUUCCUUCCGGGAGGGCAGCCGUGGGGGAAUAUUGGACAAUUGGGGGCAACCCUGAUCCAAGCCAUUCCGGCGUGUGUGAAGAAAGCCCUGAGGGUUGGUAAAGCACUUUUCAAUUGUGAAGAAAAGUUAACCGGUUUAUUAACGGUUACCCUUGACGUUACUUUUAGAAGAAGCACCGGCUAACUCCGUGCCAGCAGCCGCGGUAAUACGGAGGGUGCAAGCGUUUAUCGGAAUUACUGGGCGUAAAGCGUGCGUAGGCGGUUUAUUAAGUCAGAUGUGAAAGCCCCGGGCUUAACCUGGGAACUGCAUUUGAAACUGGUCAACUAGAGUAUGGUAGAGGAAAGUGGAAUUUCUGGUGUAGCGGUGAAAUGCGUAGAUAUCAGAAGGAACAUCAAUGGCGAAGGCAGCUUUCUGGACCAAUACUGACGCUGAGGUACGAAAGCGUGGGUAGCAAACAGGAUUAGAUACCCUGGUAGUCCACGCCGUAAACGAUGAUAACUAGCCGUUGGGGGGAUUUACCCCUUAGUGGCGAAGCUAACGCGUUAAGUUAUCCGCCUGGGGAGUACGGCCGCAAGGCUAAAACUCAAAGGAAUUGACGGGGACCCGCACAAGCGGUGGAGCAUGUGGUUUAAUUCGAUGCAACGCGAAGAACCUUACCUGGUCUUGACAUCCUGCGAACUUUCUAGAAAUAGAUUGGUGCCUUCGGGAACGCAGUGACAGGUGCUGCAUGACUGUCGUCAGCUCGUGUCGUGAGAUGUUGGGUUAAGUCCCGUAACGAGCGCAACCCCUAUCCUUAUUUGCCAGCACAUUAUGGUGGGAACUAUAAGGAGACUGCCGGUGAUAAACCGGAGGAAGGCGGGGACGACGUCAAGUCAUCAUGGCCCUUACGACCAGGGCUACACACGUGCUACAAUGGGAAGGACAAAGAGCCGCGAAGCCGCGAGGUGUAGCUAAUCUCACAAAUCUUUUCGUAGUCCGGAUUGGAGUCUGCAACUCGACUCCAUGAAGUCGGAAUCGCUAGUAAUCGUAGAUCAGAUGCUACUGUAUUGCGCUUGUCCUCGC